AGUGGUUUUUAGUAGUGUAAAUAGCUGUAAGAAUAAGAGCUGGGUAAGACCCGUGCCAGCCGCCGCGGUAACACCGGCAGCUCGAGUGGUGACCGCUUUUAUUGGGCCUAAAGCGUUCGUAGCCGGUCCAGUAAGUCUUUGGGCAAAUCUUCUCGCUCAACGAAAAGAAUUCCGAAGAUACUGCUGGACUUGGGGCCGAGAGAGGUUAGAGGUACUCCUGGGGUAGGGGUGAAAUCCUAUAAUCCUGGGGGGACCGCCAGUGGCGAAGGCGUCUAACCAGAGCGGACCCGACGGUGAGGGACGAGAGCCAGGGGCGCGAACGGGAUUAGAUACCACGGUAGUCCUGGCUGUAAACGCUGCAUGCUAGGUGUUGCAUGCUCUACGGGGGCAUGCAGUGCCGAAGAGAAGUUGAUAAGCGUGCCGCCUGGGAAGUAUUAUCGCAAGGUAGAAACUUAAAGGAAUUGGCGGGGGAGCACCACAAGGGGUGGAGUCUGCGGUUCAAUUGGAUUCAACGCCGGAAAUCUCACCGGAGGCGACGGCAGGAUGAUGGCCAGGUUGAAGAUCUUGCUUGACGAGCCGAGAGGAGGUGCAUGGCCGUCGUCAGCUCGUACCGUGAGGCGUCCUGUUAAGUCAGGCAACGAGCGAGACCCGUGCCCUUAUUCGUCAGCAGAUGCCUUCUGGCAUGCUGGACACAUUAAGGGGACCGCUGCUGAUAAAGCAGAGGAAGGAGCGGGCGACGGUAGGUCAGUAUGCCCCGAAUCUUCCGGGCUACACGCGGACUACAAUGACCAGUACAAAGGGCUUCGACUUCGAAAGGAGAAGGAAAUCCCCAAAACUGGCCCAAGUUCAGAUCGUGGGCCGCAACUUGCCCACGUGAAGCCGGAAUCCCUAGUAAUCGCGUGUCAUUAUCGCGCGGUGAAUAUGUCCCUGCUCCUUGCACACACCGCCCGUCAAACCACCCGAGUGGGGUCGAGGCGAGGCCAUGUCGUCUGGCAU
rnacentral:rRNA from 1 species